rnacentral:rRNA from 1 species
UGCAUGUCUAAGUACAUGCCGUAUUAAGGCGAAACCGCGAAUGGCUCAUUAAAUCAGUUAUGGUUCCUUGGAUCGUACCUUACUACUUGGAUAACUGUGGCAAUUCUAGAGCUAAUACAUGCAGCAGAGCUCCGACCUUCGGGGACGAGCGCUUUUAUUAGACCAAAACCAAUCGGACCUCGCGUCCGUACUCUGUGGUGACUCUGUAUAACUUUGGGCUGAUCGCACGGGCCCGUCCCGGCGACGUAUCUUUCAAGUGUCUGCCUUAUCAACUUUCGAUGGUAGGUUACGCGCCUACCAUGGUCGUAACGGGUAACGGGGAAUCAGGGUUCGAUUCCGGAGAGGGAGCCUGAGAAACGGCUACCACAUCCAAGGAAGGCAGCAGGCGCGCAAAUUACCCACUCCCAGAACGGGGAGGUAGUGACGAAAAAUAACAAUACGGGACUCUUUUGAGACCCCGUAAUUGGAAUGAGUACACUCUAAAUCCUUUCACGAUGAACAAUUGGAGGGCAAGUCUGGUGCCAGCAGCCGCGGUAAUUCCAGCUCCAAUAGCGUAUAUUAAAGUUGUUGCGGUUAAAAAGCUCGUAGUUGGAUCUCAGUUCCAGACGGGUGGUCCGCCUUACGGUGGUUACUGCCUGUUCUGAACAGCCAGCCGGUUUCUCUUGAUGAUCUUCACCGGUUGUCUUGGGUGACCGGCAAGUUUACUUUGAAAAAAUUAGAGUGCUCAAAGCAGGCGUGACGCCUGAAUAAUGGUGCAUGGAAUAAUGGAAUAGGACCUCGGUUCUAUUUUGUUGGUUUUCGGAUCACGAGGUAAUGAUUAAGAGGGACAGACGGGGGCAUUCGUAUUGCGACGCUAGAGGUGAAA